rnacentral:rRNA from 1 species
GAUGAACGCUGGCGGCGUGCUUAACACAUGCAAGUCGAGCGGAGGUAUAGACGCGGAGGACUUCGGUUCAAAGGGUGUAUAGCUUAGCGGCGGACGGGUGAGUAACGCGUGGGCAACCUGCCGUAUACAGGGGAAUAAUCACUGGAAACGGUGACUAAUACCGCAUGUCAUCACAAGGAGGCAUCUUUUUGUGAGAAAAGGAGCAAUCCGGUAUACGAUGGGCCCGCGUCUGAUUAGCUAGUUGGUGAGAUAAUAGCCCACCAAGGCGACGAUCAGUAGCCGACCUGAGAGGGUGAUCGGCCACAUUGGGACUGAGACACGGCCCAA